rnacentral:rRNA from 1 species
UACGUAGGGGGCAAGCGUUGUCCGGAUUUAUUGGGCGUAAAGCGCGUGUAGGCGGCCAGAUAGGUCUGCUGUGAAAACUCGAGGCUCAACCUCGAGCUGUCGGCGGAAACCAUCUGGCUAGAGUCCGGAAGAGGAGAGUGGAAUUCCUGGUGUAGCGGUGAAAUGCGCAGAUAUCAGGAAGAACACCUAUGGCGAAGGCAGCUCUCUGGGACGGUAAUGACGCUGAGACGCGAAAGCGUGGGGAGCGAACAGG